rnacentral:rRNA from 1 species
AUUGAACGCUGGCGGCAGGCCUAACACAUGCAAGUCGAGCGAGCGGCGGACGGGUGAGUAAUGUAUGGGGACUGCCCGAUAGAGGGGGAUCACUACUGGAAACGGUAGCUAAUACCGCAUACUACCGGCUAACCCAUAUGGGUGUAGCUAGUAGGUUAGGUAAUGGCUCACCUAGUCGCCGAUCCCUAGCUGGUCUGAGAGGAUGAUCAGCCACACUGGGACGGAGACACGGCCCAGAAUCCGAUGGAGGCAGCAGUGGGGAAUAUUGCACAAUGGUCGCAAGCCUUAUGCAGCCAUGCCGCGUGUAUGAAGAAGGCCCUAGGGUUGUAAAGUACUUUCAGUCGGGAGGCGUUACCGACAGAAGAAGCACCGGCUAACUCCGUGCCAGCAGCCGCGGUAAUUC